rnacentral:rRNA from 1 species
AUGCACGCUGGCGGCGUGCCUAAUACCUGCAAGUCGAGCGAACAGACGAGGAGCUUGCUCCUCUGACGUUAGCGGCGGACGGGUGAGUAACACGUGGAUAACCUACCUAUAAGACUGGGAUAACUUCGGGAAACCGGAGCUAAUACCGGAUAAUAUAUUUAACCGCAUGGUUCAAUAGUGAAAGACGGUUUUGCUGUCACUUAUAGAUGGAUCCGCGCCGCAUUAGCUAGUUGGUAAGGUAACGGCUUACCAAGGCAACGAUGCGUAGCCGACCUGAGAGGUUGCUCGGCCACACCGAAACUGAGACACGAUCCAGACUCCUACGGGAGGCAGCAGUAGGGAAUCUUCCGCAAUGGGCGAAAGCCUGACGAAGCAACGCCGCGUGAGUGAUGAAGGUCUUCGGAUCGUAAAACUCUGUUAUUAGGGAAGAACAAAUGUGUAAGUAACUAUGCACGUCUGAACGGGACCUAAUCAGAAAGCCACGGCUAACUACGU